rnacentral:sRNA from 1 species
GCGGACCAGCGGACGAGCAAGCCGUGAGUCGCAGGCGUCCAAGCUCUAAAGCCCCAUACCGACGUCAAGUGUAAACGAUAUUCGCAAACGUGGAUCAGUUGACAUUUGACAGCGCGCGUGCUUGCACGUUCCUCAGGGGCUAAACGGCCUACAGCUCUGGCGGCAUUAAAGUUCGACAGCUUUACGUUUGGAGAAACGUGGAGAAACGCUGGCAAACAUAAAUCGUGGUUUUGGUGCGCUCAUUAAAAACAUGUUUGACAUAGAAAUGCGUGUUUUUGAAAAACUGCAAAAAAUUUAAAUAAUUCAAUUUGGCGAAAGGCCCCUUUGGCCCACGCAUUGCGUAUACGUAGCAUUAUCUGAUCAUCCGGCUUCAACGCGCACACAGCCACAACAACAACCAUAAUAAUAAUAAUAAUGACAUUGUGAUGUUCAAGGCUUUAAUGUGAUUUAAAAAUAUGACAACCGCAGCAUCAGCAGUAGCGGCAG